UGCAAGUCGAGCGGACAGAUAAGGAGCUUGCUCCUUUGACGUUAGCGGCGGACGGGUGAGUAACACGUGGGUAACCUACCUAUAAGACUGGAAUAACUCCGGGAAACCGGGGCUAAUGCCGGAUAACAUAUAGAACCGCAUGGUUCUAUAGUGAAAGAUGGUUUUGCUAUCACUUAUAGAUGGACCCGCGCCGUAUUAGCUAGUUGGUAAGGUAAUGGCUUACCAAGGCGACGAUACGUAGCCGACCUGAGAGGGUGAUCGGCCACACUGGAACUGAGACACGGUCCAGACUCCUACGGGAGGCAGCAGUAGGGAAUCUUCCGCAAUGGGCGAAAGCCUGACGGAGCAACGCCGCGUGAGUGAUGAAGGGUUUCGGCUCGUAAAACUCUGUUAUUAGGGAAGAACAUAUGUGUAAGUAACUGUGCACAUCUUGACGGUACCUAAUCAGAAAGCCACGGCUAACUACGUGCCAGCAGCCGCGGUAAUACGUAGGUGGCAAGCGUUAUCCGGAAUUAUUGGGCGUAAAGCGCGCGUAGGCGGUUUCUUAAGUCUGAUGUGAAAGCCCACGGCUCAACCGUGGAGGGUCAUUGGAAACUGGGAAACUUGAGUGCAGAAGAGGAAAGUGGAAUUCCAUGUGUAGCGGUGAAAUGCGCAGAGAUAUGGAGGAACACCAGUGGCGAAGGCGACUUUCUGGUCUGUAACUGACGCUGAUGUGCGAAAGCGUGGGGAUCAAACAGGAUUAGAUACCCUGGUAGUCCACGCCGUAAACGAUGAGUGCUAAGUGUUAGGGGGUUUCCGCCCCUUAGUGCUGCAGCUAACGCAUUAAGCACUCCGCCUGGGGAGUACGACCGCAAGGUUGAAACUCAAAGGAAUUGACGGGGACCCGCCAAGCGGUGGAGCAUGUGGUUAAUUCGAAGCAACCGAAAACCUUACCAAUCUUGAAUCCUUUGACCACUCUAGAGAUAGACUUUCCCUUCGGGGGAAAAUGACAGGUGGGCAUGGUUGUCGUCAGCUCGUGUCGUGAGAUGUUGGGUUAAGUCCCGCAACGAGCGCAACCCUUAAGCUUAGUUGCCAUCAUUAAGUUGGGCACUCUAGGUUGACUGCCGGUGACAAACCGGAGGAAGGUGGGGAUGACGUCAAAUCAUCAUGCCCCUUAUGAUUUGGGCUACACACGUGCUACAAUGGACAAUACAAAGGGCAGCUAAACCGCGAGGUCAUGCAAAUCCCAUAAAGUUGUUCUCAGUUCGGAUUGUAGUCUGCAACUCGACUACAUGAAGCUGGAAUCGCUAGUAAUCGUAGAUCAGCAUGCUACGGUGAAUACGUUCCCGGGUCUUGUACACACCGCCCGUCACACCACGAGAGUUUGUAACACCCGAAGCCGGUGGAGUAACCAUUUAUG
rnacentral:rRNA from 1 species